UACGAAGGGGGCUAGCGUUGCUCGGAAUCACUGGGCGUAAAGGGUGCGUAGGCGGGUCUUUAAGUCAGGGGUGAAAUCCUGGAGCUCAACUCCAGAACUGCCUUUGAUACUGAGGAUCUUGAGUUCGGGAGAGGUGAGUGGAACUGCGAGUGUAGAGGUGAAAUUCGUAGAUAUUGCAAGAACACCAGUGGCGAAGGCGGCUCACUGGCCCGAUACUGACGCUGAGGCACGAAAGCGUGGGGAGCAAACGGGG
rnacentral:rRNA from 1 species